rnacentral:rRNA from 1 species
UAAUAGAUAGGAACGUAUCCGGGAGUGGGGGAGUAACUAGCCGAAAGGUUAGCUAAUACCGCAUAUUCUCUUUGGAGGAAAGCGGGGGACGGCGCAAGCGCCUCGCGCUCGCGGAGUGGCCUAUCUCCGAUUAGCUAGUUGGUGAGGUAAAGGCUUACCAAGGCGACGAUCGGUAGCUGGUCUGAGAGGAUGAUCAGCCACACUGGGACUGAGACACGGCCCAG